GCGCGAUUUCAACAAAAAAGAGCUUGGCUCAGUGCCAUAAAUUGUCUGUGAGUUCUUUCUGCAGGCGCAGGUUGUCAUACAUUCUAGUGAAGCUGAAAUUCGCCGAGCAUCUGAAGGAGGCGGUGACCUAUAUCGAACAGGGGCAUGUCCGAGUUGGACCCGAUACAGUCACAGACCCGGCAUUCCUUGUGACCAGGAACAUGG
rnacentral:misc_RNA from 1 species